AUACGGAAGGUCCAGGCGUUAUCCGGAUUUAUUGGGUUUAAAGGGAGCGCAGGCUGAUGAUUAAGCGUGACGUGAAAUGUAGUCGCUCAACGGCUGAACUGCGUCGCGAACUGGUUAUCUUGAGUGAGUUCGAUGUUGGCGGAAUUCGUGGUGUAGCGGUGAAAUGCUUAGAUAUCACGAAGAACUCCGAUUGCGAAGGCAGCCGACAAGGCCUUUACUGACGCUAAAGCUCGAAGGUGCGGGUAUCGAACAGGAUUAGAUACCCUGGUAGUCCGCACGGUAAACGAUGGAUGCCCGCUGUUUGCGAUAUACUGUGAGCGGCCAAGAGAAAUCGUUAAGCAUCCCACCUGGGGAGUACGCCGGCAACGGUGAAACUCAAAUGAAUUGACGGGG
rnacentral:rRNA from 1 species